CCUACGGGUGGCUGCAGUGGGGAAUCUUGGACAAUGGGGGCAACCCUGAUCCAGCCAUGCCGCGUGUGUGAAGAAGGCCUUCGGGUUGUAAAGCACUUUCAGUAGGGAGGAAGGCUUCGGGUUAAUACCCUGGAGUACUUGACGUUACCUACAGAAGAAGCACCGGCUAAUUUCGUGCCAGCAGCCGCGGUAAUACGAAAGGUGCAAGCGUUAAUCGGAAUUACUGGGCGUAAAGCGCGCGUAGGCGGUGUGUUAAGUCGGAUGUGAAAGCCCAGGGCUCAACCUUGGAAUUGCAUCCGAUACUGGCACGGUAGAGUGCAGUAGAGGGAGGUGGAAUUUCCGGUGGAGCGGUGAAAUGCGUAGAGAUCGGAAGGAACACCAGUGGCGAAGGCGGCCUCCUGGACUGACACUGACGCUGAGGUGCGAAAGCGUGGGGAGCAAACAGGAUUAGAGACCCGGGUAGUC
rnacentral:rRNA from 1 species